rnacentral:rRNA from 1 species
UACGUAGGGUGCGAGCGUUUAAUCGGAAUUACUGGGCGUAAAGCGUGCGCAGGCGGUUUUGUAAGCCAGAUGUGAAAUCCCCGGGCUUAACCUGGGAAUGGCAUUUGGGACUGCAAGGCUGGAGUUUGGCAGAGGAGACUGGAAUUCCUGGUGUAGCAGUGAAAUGCGUAGAUAUCAGGAGGAAUACCGAGUGGCGAAGGCAGGUCUCCUGGGCUAUAACUGACGUC